GGAGGAUUCGCCUAGUGGCCUAGGGCGCACGCUUGGAAAGCGUGUUGGGGGCAACCCCUCGAGAGUUCGAAUCUCUCAUCCUCCGCCG
rnacentral:tRNA from 3 species